AUAGGGCCAAGAGCGGAAGCAAAGCUGGAGCCCCAGGAAGACUUGCAGGAAAAAAUGAAAAAUAAUGGAAACAAGCAUCUUCUGCUGUGUCUAGAGGAAGAAUGCUUAAUCACAAAGGGAAGAUUGAAGCCUCAGUGAAAGCAAGCCUAAAAGUUUACAAACACUGCAGAAUAAGAAAAAGGUGAUAGAAGAGGAAGACAGAAGUGGAUCAUGCAGAACAAAGGAGGCCUAACCUUUUAAAAAUCUGCGGUCUUACUGAAGAGAAAGGAGGAAAAAGAGAAGAUUUCAAUAAGAGUGUGAAAGAUGGAAGAGAGCCAGAAAGGGCUGUAGGCUUUAAAAAAAAAAA